rnacentral:rRNA from 1 species
CCUACGGGGGGCAGCAGUGGGGAAUAUUGCACAAUGGGGGAAAGCCUGAUGCAGCAACGCCGCGUGAGCGAAGAAGGCCUUCGGGUCGUAAAGCUCUGUUCUACGGGAAGAAGCAUGACGGUACCUUAGGAUGGAGCCCCGGCUAACUACGUGCCAGAAGCCGCGGCAAUACGUAGGGGGGGAGCAAUAUCCGGAAUCACUGGGCGUAAAGGGUGCGUAGGGGGCCGAUUAAGCCAGGGGUGAAUGGCUACGGCUCAACCGUAGUAAGCUCUUGGAACUGAGUGGCGUGAGUGCAGGAGAGGGGAGUUGAUUUCCCAGUGUAGUGGUGAAUUGCGUAGAUCUUAGGAGGACCCCGAGUGGCGAAGGCGACUCUUUGGACUGUAGCUGACGCUGAGGAAAGAAGGCGUGGGGAGCAACGAGGAUUAGAGACCUGGUAGUC